GUGGAUUAGAUACCCUGGUAGUCCACGCCGUAAACGAUGGAUACUAGCUGUUCGGUUUUCGGACUGAGUGGCUAAGCGAAAGUGAUAAGUAUCCCACCUGGGGAGUACGUUCGCAAGAAUGAAACUCAAAGGAAUUGACGGGGGCCCGCACAAGCGGUGGAGCAUGUGGUUUAAUUCGAUGAUACGCGAGGAACCUUACCAGGGCUUAAAUGUAGAUUGACAGAUUUGGAAACAGAUUUUUCUUCGGACAAUUUACAAGGUGCUGCACGGCCGUCGUCAACU
rnacentral:rRNA from 1 species